rnacentral:rRNA from 1 species
AAAGCCCAAGGUUUCCUUGCGCAACGUUAAUCGGCGCAGGGUGAGUCGGCCCCUAAGGCGAGGCAGAGAUGCGUAGCUGAUGGGAAACAGGUCAAUAUUCCUGUACCGAUCAAUAGUGCGAUGUGGGGACGGAGAAGGUUAGCUCAGCCAACUGUUGGAUAUGUUGGUUCAAGCCUGUAGUCGUGCCUGGUAGGCAAAUCCGCCGGGCUUAGAUGAGGGGUGAUAACGAGGCUGCUUGCAGCCGAAGUGAGUGAUACCCUGCUUCCAGGAAAAGCCACUAAGCUUCAGCUAUUGACGACCGUACCGCAAACCGACACUGGUGCGCGAGAUGAGUAUUCUAAGGCGCUUGAGAGAACUCAGGAGAAGGAACUCGGCAAAUUGACACCGUAACUGAGGGA